AAGCCAUGCGUAGGGCAAUUUCUUAUCAUUAAUUUCAUACUCUCCCAAGCUUGUGCAACAUGUUCAUCAUCUUGCUGUUUAAAAUUAAUUAUUUCAUUUCUAAGGAU
rfam:Hordeum vulgare subsp. vulgare, WGS project CAJW01000000 data, contig: morex_contig_46768